CCAUUUGUCUAAGAAACAAAAUAUUAGAGGUAUUUGAAAAAAAAAAAAAUUAAAGUGAUGUUUUAAAGUAAUUUCUUUAAUAUCAAUUAUAUGAAUCAAUUUUAUUAUUACUUUUUAGGCAAAAUUCAAUAAUACUUCGUCUAAAAAAUAUCCAGGCGGUAAUGAUUGUAUCUGGUAUCUGAACCAGUGGCUCACUUUUUCUAUAAUUUGAAAAGAGUUGGAAUAAUAUUUUAUGUAAUCCCCCAUAUUUUUCUUAGUAAAUAAUAAUUAUAUAUUUUUAUGUAUACGAAUAUUUUUAAUAAUUUUAUAGAUAUUCUGGAAAGAUUUGACAAAAAAAAAAAAAAAAACGAUAACUUAUAUUCCAAUAGCUUAAUUACUCACCUUGGGCCCAUGACUAUCAUUCUAAUUCUACAAAAAAAAAAAAAAAAAGAGCCCAUACCCUCAUUUUUAAUUAAGUAAAAUUCUUUCAAAACCCUCCUAUUGCCUUCUCCUUAUUACUCCUCCUCUACUGCUUCCCCUUCAUUCAUGACUCAUACACAAAAACAAAAAAAAAAAAUCGUUGCUGCCCUACACCGCCACUGCUGCCGACCACCACCACCACCGGCGACCGUUCGCUACUGCCACGGCCGCCUGCCCUCAGCCGAAACCUGCAGCCACCGUCGCCCAGCCGGAGAGGACUUCGUAGAAGGUGACUUCUAGCCUUAAAGUGGCCAAUCAAUUUGUGUACUCAAGACUAAUCACAGGUUUUUGCAUAAACUGAACUUGCAUCAGGGUGAUGGGAUUUGAGUGGAGCGUUGGUUAAUCACUUAGCUUAUUUCAUUUCAUAAAUUGAUGUUAUUUUGACUUUAACUCUACCAGCUUCCUAUUUUACUGGGUUUUUAAUAAGGGUCGUUAUGGUUCCAACUUGUAAGUCUAAAUUUGGUUUUGAUUAUUAGUUUUGAAACUUAUAUUUUCUUUUAAAACUAAAUUAGUUUUUCGCUGUUGAUAUCUUAAACUAGCCUUAACGUUUGAACACGUGGCAAUAGCACGCCAGUAAUUCUCUCACAGGUUAUUAAAAGUAUUUACAGGUUACUACAAGUUAUUACAGGUUAAUACAGGUUUUAAAGAGAGAAUUAUUGGGGUGUUACAUUUUAGGUAAAUGUAUGGAAAAAUUAAGAACACGAAAUAAAAAGAAAUACAUUUUAUGUAAGGAUAAUGUAUAAGAUUUGGAACAAUAUUACAGUUGUAUUAUACAAAUAUUAAAAUAUUUUUUGCCAAAAGGGGAGGGGUUUUGGAGAGAAAAAACGCCACCAGGAAGUGUCAUGUGUCAUUGCUGGUGUCUGUUUUAGUAUUAUGUUAUUGAUUUUUAUAAUUUUUUACAAAUGAGGAUAUAAACGAUUAAAAUUAUGCAUUGACAAACGUGAAAACAAGAAACGUUGCAAGCGACAGAGAAGGAGCGCGUUGUCAGUGGACGAAUCAUCACUGUCUUCAUCAUUUUUUUGUAUUUGUAUUCCUUCAAGGUGUAGUUGUCGAACACAGUUUCUACUGAAGAAUCCUCUUGAUGAUGCUCAUGUUGCACUCCUUCUGGUGGCGCAUACUGUUGAUGGAUGAAUCCCGUUGAUAAUCCUAACGUAAUUCCCCAGGCGCAAUUUCAACUGAUAAAUGAACCUGAUGUAAUUCCCCAGCAGAAGUUUCAACUGAUAAAUGAUCUGAAGUAAUCUUCCAGGCACAAGUUUAAUUAAUAAAUUAUCCUGAAGUAAACCCUCGGGUGCAAUUUCAAUUGACAAAUGUCUUGGUGGUGGUGGUGGUGUACGAUUUUUGCAAUAGAAAUUAAACUCUCUAAAUAAAUAAUAAUGUUGCAUCCAUGAAUUUAGCAUAGGUAUGUUCUUACAACAUUUAUGCUUUAUUUAUAAGGUGAUUUAUUACAACAUAUUUUUACAAAGUGUCACAAAACCUGAUUUUUAUAAGGGGUUUCCCACAAAUGUUCAUCCAAGAAUCACUAUACAAUUGUUCAUA